rnacentral:lncRNA from 1 species
GACUAUUGAUUUUGCUCAACUAACUCACAAGAGAAGAGUUUAGAUUACCAGUGCAUUUAGCAUUCUUCAAGCCAAAUACCUUUUAGAUUCUUUACACCCUUGGCUGAAGAAAAUCUCUCUUUUUUUUUGUUUGCAAGGGAAUGUUUAUUGUAUCUUUCAUCGAGGUGUCCUUCAAGUUGAAAUUUCUUGCUCAUAAAUCCUGUAUCAUUAGCAAAAUCUUUUUCUUUUCUUGAAGGCAAUUCAUUAGUUUCUUCAAGAUACAAAACAUUCAUACGACAUAUUUAUUUAUUUAUUUAUUUUUUAACUAGAUGACUCAAAAUAAGACAUGACAAUAAUUGAAUAUUGAGUCAUUCUACUCAAGAGAUUGCCUAAAUAUAAGCAAACACAAGUCACUUGAACUAAAGAGAUAGUUUCAUUAAGUAAGAUGGUUCAAGGACAAGCAUGUGAGGCAAUAGAAAGAUUCAUCAAGGUCAAAUCAAUUUCUUGUUUUCAAAAAUCAAUUUAGCUUAGAUUUUAUUUGCUUAAGAUAAUUAUCAAUAAGAUAAACAAGUUAGGUUUUAAUCAAAUUAUCUUAAACAAUUGUUUCUAUCAGAAUUCUGAUUACGUUUCAACUUUCAACACAAGUAAUUCUGUUUCAGAGAGAUAAGCAAUCUUCUUUUAGAGCAGAUAAGAUUUUAUUUUUGACUUAUGAGAGAUAGUUCAAAGAAAUUAAUAUUCAUGCUUUAAAAGAUUUUUAUGCUCAGAUUAAACAUGAUAGGUUAAAAAUAAUCGG